rnacentral:tRNA from 1 species
GCAUGCGUGGCCGAGCGGCAAAAGCACCUGACUGUAAAUCAGGCGUCAUUCGUGACUCCGUAGGUUCGAGUCCUACCGCAUGCA